UAUUUGUGUAUUUUAUUGUAGAAACCAGGUGUAGCGGUCUCGACUCCAUCUUCAGAGGAGCCAGAAAUGAGUGGGACAUCCACUUCAUCCAUCCAAAAUAAACCAGGUGUAAAGGUCUCAACUCCAUCUUCAGAGGAACCAGAAAUGAGUGGGACAUCCACUUCAUCCAUCCAAAAGAAACCAGGUGUAGAGCUCUCGACUCCAUUUUCAGAGGACCCAAAAACGAGUUUGACAUCCACUUCAUCCAUCCAAAAG